rnacentral:lncRNA from 1 species
GGGAAACCUGGGAAGAUUGAUAUGAACUACUACAAAGUGAAAUGAGUAGUCAGGAAAACAAGUUGCUCGAUCACCAUAAUGUUAUGGCAUCAGCUUUGGUGAAAUAUUUCAUGUCUUGACUCAUGCAAGAAUAUCAGACCAUGCAGAAUUCAUAUCUUCUCAUAAGGGAUCAUUUAUCAAGGAGAUCAAGCAAGUUAGCCCCCCACUCCUGAGAGAUUUAUAUCAUCAAAGAAAAAAGCAAAUGAAGAUACAUAAGCCGAGGUGAACAUGCCCAUCCCAGAAAUCUUCUCUGGAUUCAUGGAGGAAACCAGGAGGCUCAAAGCUAGCGGAGGAAUAAAUUCCUAGAUACCAGAGAGGGAGAAGGAGCC